GACGAACGCUGGCGGCGUGCUUAACACAUGCAAGUCGAACGGGAGUAUUGAAGAAGCUUGCUUUAGAGAUACUUUAGUGGCGGACGGGUGAGUAACGCGUGAGGAGCUGUCCUAUGCAGGGGGACAACAGCUGGAAACGGCUGCUAAUACCCCAUAAGCCGAGAGGUAAAAGGAUCAAUCCGGCAGAGGAGGUACUCGCGUCCUAUCAGCUAGUAGGUGAGGUAACGGCUCACCUAGGCGAAGACGGGUAGCCGGCCUGAGAGGGCGAACGGCCACACUGGAACUGAGACACGGCCCAGACUCCUACGGGGGGCAGCAGUGGGGAAUCUUGCACAAUGGGCGAAAGCCUGAUGCAGCGACGCCGCGUGAGCGAAGAAGGCCUUCGGUUGUAAAGCUCUGUCUGGAGGGACGAAGGAAGUGACGGUACCUCCGGAGGAAGCCACGGCUAACUACGUG
rnacentral:rRNA from 1 species